CGGGGAGAGGGGGAGGGGGGAACGUAACGACUCUGAUGUACUUGCGGAGAAUCCGCUUACUUCCUCUCCCAGCCAGUGUUUUCUGUUUUUGUUUUUGACACUCAGGCCCCGCACCCCACAUCCCGUCCUGUUUUGAGAAGAGGAGGGAAGAGAAAUAAACGUGGCAGCGCACAUAAGGCUCUCAGUCUCCAACGUCUGCUGUCUAUAUUCCUGCCCUUCAGUCUGUCCUUAGGAUGGAGCCCUAACUGAACUGAAGGAAGGAGAGAAAUCCCUGAAUCCUUGGAGGUCUGUCUGCCUUUUGGGCCCUGUACGACUACAGGCCUGGAGGAAAAGAGCAAACUGCUUCUGCUGCCAGUGGGUUGGUCCUGCUCAGUUUGCAGCCUCGGCGGAACUUUCGAGCCUGAACUGAAGCACCUCACCCAGACGUGCACGCAUCCCUCUUGGGCAAGCCAACUCCACGACCUGGGUCAG
rnacentral:lncRNA from 1 species